rnacentral:rRNA from 1 species
GACGAACGCUGGCGGCGUGCUUAACACAUGCAAGUCGAGCGGAAAGGCCCCUUGUGGGUACUCGAGCGGCGAACGGGUGAGUAACACGUGAGUAAUCUGCCCUUCACUUCAGGAUAGCUCCCGGAAACGGGGAUUAAUACUGGAUAUGACACAUUCGCGCAUGUGGGAUGUGUGGAAAGUUUUUUCGGUGGGGGAUGUGCUCGCGGCCUAUCAGCUUGAUGGUGGGGUAAUGGCCUACCAUGGCUUCGACGGGUAGCCGGCCUGAGAGGGUGACCGGUCACACUGGGACUGAGACACGGCCCAGACUCCUACGGGAGGCAGCAGUGGGGAAUAUUGGACAAUGGGCGGAAGCCUGAUCCAGCAACGCCGCGUGAGGGAUGACGGCCUUCGGGUUGUAAACCUCUUUCAGCACAGACGAAGCGCAAGUGACGGUAUGUGCAGAAGAAGGACCGGCCAACUACGUGCCAGCAGCCGCCGUAAUAC